UACGUAGGGGGCAAGCGUUGUCCGGAAUCAUUGGGCGUAAAGAGCGUGUAGGCGGUUCGGUAAGUCGGCUGUGAAAGUCCAGGGCUCAACCCCUGGGAUGCCGGUCGAUACUGCCGGACUAGAGUUCGGAAGAGGCGAGUGGAAUUCCCCGGUGUAGCGGUGAAAUGCGCAGAUAUCGGGAGGAACACCUAUGGCGAAGGCAGCUCGCUGGGACGUUACUGACGCUGAGACGCGAAAGCGUGGGGAGCAAACAGG
rnacentral:rRNA from 1 species